rnacentral:rRNA from 1 species
AGAGUUUGAUCAUGGCUCAGAAUGAAACCUGGCGGUGUGCCUAACACAUGCAAGUCAAACGACAAUUUAUUUGGAGUGGCGGACGGGUGAGUAACACGUAAGAACCUACCUUUAGGAGGGGGAUACCAUCCCGGGAAACUGGUGCUAAUACCCCAUAUGCUGAGAAGUGAAAUGGUAUUUAACCGCCUAGAGAGGGGCUUGCGGCUGAUUAGCUAGUUGGUGGGGUAAUGGCCUCCCAAGGCGACGAUCAGUAGCUGGUUUGAGAGGAUGAUCAGCCACACUGGGACUGAGACACGGCCCAGACUCCUACGGGAGGCAGCAGUGAGGAAUUUCCGCAAUGGGCGAAAGCCUGACGGAGCAAUACCGCGUGGAGGAAAAAGAAGACCUGUGGGUUGUAAACUCCUUUUCUCAGAGAAGAAUACUGACGGUAUCUGAGGAAUAAGCACCGGCUAACUAUGUGCCAGCAGCCGCGGUAAUACAUGGGGUGCGAGGUUUAUUCGGAAUGAUUGGGCGUAAAGCGUUCGUAGGUGGUUUCACGAAGUCCACUGUCAAAGAUCAGGGCUUAACCUUGGGCAGGCAGUGGAAACUCGGAAACUCGAGUCAGGUGGGGGCUGAAGGAAUCAACAGCGUAACAGUGAAAUGUGUAGAUAUUGUUGAGAACACCGAUGGAGAAAUCAUUCAGCUGGGCCAUGACUGACACUGA